CCUACGGGAGGCUGCAGUGAGGAAUAUUGGUCAAUGGGCGCUAGCCUGAACCAGCGAAGUAGCGUGAAGGAUGACUGCCCUAUGGGUGUUAAACUUCGUCUAUAUGGAAGUACAGUGCAGUAUCUAUACUGCUGUGCAUGUACCUUAUCAAUAAGGAUAGGCUAACUCCGUGCCAGCAGCAGCGGUAAUACGGAGGAGCCGAGCGUUAUUCGGAUUUAUAGGGUUUAAAGUAAACGUAGGCGGGUUGUUAAGUCAGUUGUGAAAGGUUGCGGCUCAACCGUAAAAUUGCAGUUGAUACUGGCAAACUUGAGUACAGUAGAGGUAGGCGGAAUUCGUGGUGUAGCGGUGAAAUGCUUAGAUAUCACGAAGAACUUCGAUGGCGAAGGCAGCCUGCUGGACUGUAACUGACGCUGAUGCUCGAAAGUGUGGGUAUCAAACAGGAUUAGAUACCCGGGUAGUC
rnacentral:rRNA from 1 species